AUUGAACGCUGGCGGCAGGCCCAACACAUGCAAGUCGAGCGAGCGGCGGACGGGUGAGUAAUGUAUGGGGACUGCCCGAUCGAGGGGGAUAACUCCUGGAAACGGUGGCUAAUACCGCAUACUAUCGGAUAACCCAUAUGGGAUUAGCUAGUAGGUGGGGAAAAGGCUCACCUAGGCUACGAUCUCUAGCUGGUCUGAGAGGUUGGUCAGCCACACUGAGACUGAGACAGGGCCCAGACUCCUACGGAGGCAGCAGUGGGGAAUAUUGCACAAUGGGCGCAAGCCUGGUGCAGCCAUGCCGCGUGUAUGAAGAAGGCCUUAGGGUUGUAAAAUACUUUCAGCGGGGAGGCGUUACCCGCAGAAGAAGCACCGGCUAACUCCGUGCCAGCAGCCGCGGUAAUAC
rnacentral:rRNA from 1 species